rfam:Solibacillus silvestris StLB046 DNA, complete genome.
AUGUACCACAAGGGGUGCCGAGAAAGUCGGCUGAGAUUGUGCACGGGAUUGCACUGACUCUUUGAACCUGUAAGUUAGCACUUGCGUAGGGAUGUGGAUAGAAUCCGAC